rnacentral:sRNA from 1 species
CCACCACUCUGAAUGUAGUGCACACUUAAGAAUUUAUAUGGCUCAGCGUUGAGGCUGGGACAUGUUCUUUUAUAACUUGUGACGUAGCGAGCGUUUGAGAUAUCUAUCUAAACGUGUCGUUGAGGCUAAGGCGGGGACUUCGAGUCCCUAAAUAAUUGAGUCGUAUGUUCGCGUUGGUGGCUUUGUACCCCACACAACACGGCAUAUGACCCUGAGGCAACUUGGGGUUAUAUGGUCAAGCGAAUAAGCGCACACGGUGGAUGCCUAGGCGGUCAGAGGCGAUGAAGGACGUGGUAGCCUGCGAAAAGUGUCGGGGAGCUGGCAACAAGCUUUGAUCCGGCAAUAUCCGAAUGGGGAAACCCACUGCUUCGGCAGUAUCCUGCAGUGAAUUCAUAGCUGCUGGAAGCGAACCCGGUGAACUGAAAUAUCUAAGUAACCGGAGGAAAAGAAAUCAACCGAGAUUCCCUAAGUAGUGACGAGCGAACGGGGAGCAGCCCUUAAGCUGGAAUGGCUUUAGAAAAACAAUCUGGAAAGAUUGGCCAUAGAAGGUGAUAGCCCUGUAUUUAAAAGGGCCACUCCAGUGAAGACGAGUAGGGCGGGGCACGUGAAACCCUGUCUGAAUAUGGGGGGACCAUCCUCCAAGGCUAAAUACUCCUGACCGACCGAUAGUGAACCAGUACC